rnacentral:rRNA from 1 species
AGUGAACGCUGGCGGUAGGCCUAACACAUGCAAGUCGAACGGCAGCGCAGUAAGAGCUUGCUCUUACGGGUGGCGAGUGGCGGACGGGUGAGGAAUACAUCGGAAUCUACUUUUUCGUGGGGGAUAACGUAGGGAAACUUACGCUAAUACGGCAUACGACCUCCGGGUGAAAGCAGGGGAGCUUCGGACCUUGCGCGAUUGAAUGAGCCGAUGUCGGAUUAGCUAGUUGGCGGGGCAAAGGCCCACCAAGGCGACGAUCCGUAGCUGGUCUGAGAGGAUGAUCAGCCACACUGGAGCUGAGACACGGUCCAGACUCCUACGGGAGGCAGCAGUGGGGAAUAUUGGACAGUGGUCGCAAGCCUGAUCCAGCCAUACCGCGUGGGUGAAGGAGGCCUUCGGGUUGUAAAGCCCUUUUGUUGGGAAAGAAAAGCAGCAGGUUAAUACCCCGCUGUUCUGACGGUACCCAAAGAAUAAGCACCGGCUAACUUCGUG